CCCACCCUGAGCGUGCUGCCCCCUCCAGCGAGGAGCUGCAGCGGGAGAGCCACGCUCAUGUGCCUGGCCAAGGGCUUCCCCUCAGACUGGAAUCUGGCCUGGAAGGUGGACGGCAGAGGCAGAAGCAGCAGCAGCAGCUGGGAGAGCAGCAGCCCGGGGUGCUGGGCAGGGCGGCCGCUACAGCUGGAGCAGCACCUGGCGCUCACUGCAGACCAGUGGAGCAAGGUGGGCUCUGUGACCUGUGAGGCCACCCAGGGCUCCCAGACUCUGGUCUCAGAGACGCUGAGGAGAGACCAGUGUUCCCAGUCCUGACCCGACUCCCUGGGACUCUGCUACUGGUUUUACUCUGCUACUGCUCCCCCCCUGCUCUCUGUAACACG